UCACUUACCUGGCGUAGGAAGCAACCUGAUCCGCAAGGGGUUCUUCCCAUCUUGAGACCUUCACAUUGCACUACGUGUUGGUUGACGGGUGCGAUAGUCGCAAAUGUCGACUACUCGGGCGCGGAAUUUUUUCUCGGGGGGUUUUGCGUUCGCGCAUCUACA
rnacentral:snRNA from 1 species